rnacentral:rRNA from 1 species
UACAGAGGGGGCUAGCGUUGUUCGGAAUUACUGGGCGUACAGCGCGCGCAGGCGGCCGCGUAUGUGACCGGUGACAUCCUCGGGCUCAACCCGAGGCGGCCCGGUUAGACAGCGUAGCUGGAGGCAGGGAGAGGGAAGCGGAAUUCCUGGUGUAGAGGUGAAAUUCGUAGAUAUCAGGAGGAACAUCAGCGGCGAAGGCGGCUUCCUGGCUCAUUACUGACGUUCAGGUACGAAAGCGUGGGUAGCAAACAGG